rnacentral:tRNA from 1 species
CCGAGAAUAGCUCAGUUGGUAGAGCGGAAGACUGUAGCUUCAAAGUUAUCUUUAGGUCCCUGGUUCGAAUCCGGGUUCUCGGA